rnacentral:rRNA from 1 species
UACGGAGGUCCCAAGCGUUGUUCGGAAUCACUGGGCGUAAAGGGUGCGUAGGCGGCGUGGCAAGUCAGAUGUGAAAUACCGGGGCUCAACCCCGGAACGGCAUCCGAUACUGCCAUGCUAGAGUAGUGGAGGGGAGUCUGGAAUUCACGGUGUAGCAGUGAAAUGCGUAGAGAUCGUGAGGAACACUAGUGGCGAAGGCGAGACUCUGGACACUUACUGACGCUGAGGCACGAAGGCCAGGGUAGCGAAAGGG